rnacentral:rRNA from 1 species
UGCAAGUCGAAGCGGUAACACAGAAGGAAGCUUGCUCCUUGGGUGACGAGCGGCGGACGGGUGAGUAAUGCCUGGGGAUCUGCCCGAUAGAGGGGGAUAACUACGGGAAACUGUAGCUAAUACCGCAUAAUGUCUACGGACCAAAGUGGGGGCUCUUCGGACCUCAUGCUAUCGGAUGAACCCAGGUGGGAUUAGCUAGUUGGUGAGGUAAUGGCUCACCAAGGCGACGAUCUCUAACUGGUUUGAGAGAAUGACCAGUCACACUGGAACUGAGACACGGUCCAGACUCCUACGGGAGGCAGCAGUGGGGAAUAUUGCACAAUGGGCGCAAGCCUGAUGCAGCCAUGCCGCGUGUGUGAAGAAGGCCUUCGGGUUGUAAAGCACUUUCAGCGGGGAGGAAGGGCCACUAGUUAAUACCUAGUGGCAUUGACGUUACUCGCAGAAGAAGCACCGGCUAACUCCGUGCCAGCAGCCGCGGUAAUACGGAGGGUGCAAGCGUUAAUCGGAAUUACUGGGCGUAAAGCGCACGCAGGCGGUUUGUUAAGUCAGAUGUGAAAUCCCCGAGCUCAACUUGGGAACUGCAUUUGAAACUGGCAAGCUAGAGUCUUGUAGAGGGGGGUAGAAUUCCAGGUGUAGCGGUGAAAUGCGUAGAGAUCUGGAGGAAUACCGGUGGCGAAGGCGGCCCCCUGGACAAAGACUGACGCUCAGGUGCGAAAGCGUGGGGAGCAAACAGGAUUACAUACCCUGGUAGUCCACGCUGUAAACGAUGUCGAUUUGGAGGUUGUGCCCUUGAGGCGUGGCUUCCGGARCUAACGCGUUAAAUCGACCGCCUGGGGAGUACCGCCGCAAGGUUAAAACUCAAAUGAAUUGACGGGGGCCC